rnacentral:rRNA from 1 species
UACGUAGGGUGCGAGCGUUUGUCCGGAAUUACUGGGCGUAAAGCGCACGUAGGCGGAUCGAUCAGUCAGGGGGUGAAAUCCCCAGAGUCAUCACUCUGGAACUGCCUUUGAUACUGUCGAUCUGGAGUAUGGAAGAGGUGAGUGGAAUUCCGAGUGUAGAGGUGAAAUUCGUAGAUAUUCGGAGGAACACCAGUGGCGAAGGCGGCUCACUGGCCCGGUACUGACGCUGAGGUGCGAAAGCGUGGGGAGCAAACAGG